UACGUAGGGGGCAAGCGUUGUCCGGAUUUAUUGGGCGUAAAGAGCGUGUAGGCGGCCAGACAGGUCUGCUGUGAAACUCGAGGCUCAACCUCGAGACGCCGGUGGAAACCGUUUGGCUAGAGUCCGGAAGAGGAGAGUGGAAUUCCUGGUGUAGCGGUGAAAUGCGCAGAUAUCAGGAAGAACACCCGUGGCUAAGGCGGCUCUCUAGUACGGUACUGACGCUGAGACGCGAAAGCAUGGGGAGCGAACAGG
rnacentral:rRNA from 1 species